rnacentral:rRNA from 1 species
AGAGUUUGAUCCUGGCUCAGGAUGAACGCUGGCGGCGUGCUUAACACAUGCAAGUCGAACGAAGCACUUUAAUUGAUUUCUUCGGAAUGAAGUUUUUGUGACUGAGUGGCGGACGGGUGAGUAACGCGUGGGUAACCUGCCUCAUACAGGGGGAUAACAGUUGGAAACGACUGCUAAUACCGCAUAAGCGCACAGGAUUGCAUGAUCCAGUGUGAAAAACUCCGGCGGUAUGAGAUGGACCCGCGUCUGAUUAGCCAGUUGGCGGGGUAACGGCCCACCAAAGCGACGAUCAGUAGCCGACCUGAGAGGGUGACCGGCCACAUUGGGACUGAGACACGGCCCAAACUCCUACGGGAGGCAGCAGUGGGGAAUAUUGCACAAUGGGGGAAACCCUGAUGCAGCGACGCCGCGUGAGCGAAGAAGUAUUUCGGUAUGUAAAGCUCUAUCAGCAGGGAAGAAGAAUGACGGUACCUGACUAAGAAGCACCGGCUAAAUACGUGCCAGCAGCCGCGGUAAUACGUAUGGUGCAAGCGUUAUCCGGAUUUACUGGGUGUAAAGGGAGCGCAGGCGGUACGGCAAGUCUGAUGUGAAAUCCCGGGGCUCAACCCCGGUACUGCAUUGGAAACUGUCGGACUAGAGUGUCGGAGGGGUAAGUGGAAUUCCUAGUGUAGCGGUGAAAUGCGUAGAUAUUAGGAGGAACACCAGUGGCGAAGGCGGCUUACUGGACGAUUACUGACGCUGAGACUCGAAAGCGUGGGGAGCGAACGGGAUUAGAUACCCCGGUAGUCCACGCCGUAAACGUUGUGCGCUAGGUGUAGGAGGUAUCGACCCCUUCUGUGCCGCAGCUAACGCAUUAAGCGCACCGCCUGGGGAGUACGGUCGCAAGACUGAAACUCAAAGGAAUUGACGGGGGCCCGCACAAGCGGUGGAGCAUGUGGUUUAAUUCGAGGCAACGCGAAGAACCUUACCCAGACUUGACAUCCCAGGACAGCUUAUGAAAGUAAGUCUUCCCUUCGGGGACCUGGAGACAGGUGUUGCAUGGCUGUCGUCAGCUCGUGUCGUGAGAUGUUGGGUUAAGUCCCGCAACGAGCGCAACCCCUAUUCUUAGUUACCAUCGGGUAAUGCCGGGCACUCUAAGAAGACCGCCGGUGAUAAACCGGAGGAAGGCGGGGACGACGUCAAGUCAUCAUGGCCCUUACGUCUGGGGCUACACACGUGCUACAAUGGCCGGUACAAUGGGCUGCAAUACCGCGAGGUGGAGCCAACCCCAAAAAACCGGUCUCAGUUCGGAUUGGAGUCUGCAACUCGACUCCAUGAAGCCGGAAUCGCUAGUAAUCGAGGAUCAGCUACGCCUCGGUGAAUACGUUCCCGGGCCUUGUACACACCGCCCGUCACAUGACCCGAGUCGGUUGCACCCGAAGUCACUGGCCUAACCCGCAAGGGAAGGAGGUGCCGAAGGUGUGAUUGGUGAGGGGGAUGAAGUCGUAACAAGGUA